CGCUCCCUGUAAGUGUUUAACAUAGGGAGUCCUGCCUGCCCAGUGACUAGAGGUUAAACGGCCGCGGUAUCUUGACCGUGCGAAGGUAGCAUAAUCAUUUGUCUCCUAAAUAGAGACUAGUAUGAAUGGCAAGACGGAACAAGGCUGUCUCUUUCUCACAAUCCUGAAUUUCACCUCCCCGUGAAGAGGCGAGGAUAAAAUCGCUAGACGAGAAGACCCUGUCGAGCUUUAGCAGAAUCCAAAUCCUUAAUUUAUUUAUUUCCUCCUAAUCCAUAAAUCUAGCCGGCAAUAAAUUUUAUUUUCUUUGGGAAAGCUUUGGUUGGGGCAACCGCGGAGUAAAAAGACCCUCCGCUAAUAAGGUAUUAUAAAAAGAGCUACAACUCUAAAAUCAAAAUGAAACUAAUGAUCCACUAAGGUGAUCAAAGGAACAAGUUACCGCAGGGAUAACAGCGUUAUCUUUUCUGAGAGUUCACAUUGACGAAAAGGUUUGCGACCUCGAUGUUGGAUCGGGACAUCCUAAGGGUGCAGAAGCUUUUAAGGGUUGGUCUGUUCGACCAUUAAAGUCCU
rnacentral:rRNA from 1 species